rnacentral:lncRNA from 1 species
CCUGCUCCUACCCUCUUCAGUGAAAGCAUCUCCUGGAGGCCAGUGAAGGUUGGCUGAUGGGCUGUUUGAAUGGUGUAGGUGGGAGCAGUAUAAUAAAAAUUGCCCAGAGAUGGACAUGUAGAGAAAAACAAUAGUAUCAACCCUUGAUAAAUGAAAAAAGCUACUUAUCACAGUUUGCUGCAGAACCCUGGCUGGGACUGAACAUACCCAAGAAACAGAAGGUGGGACCCACUAGACUGACACCUUUCAAUACUGCUUUCCAGUGAAGAACCCUGAAAGCCAGGGACUGAGAUGGGCAGAAUGUGAGGGAACCCACCUCUUUGGCCUAGGCUACUCCACACAGUCUUGGAACAAGGAACUGCUGUCCAUGGUCCUGUGUAAAUGUGAAGAAGCAAUCAGUGCACUGGACCAUCACUAUUGGGAUGUGGAUUAAAUUCCUCCCUGGAAGACAUACUUGAAAUGCAUUCUUCGGGGUGUCAGCCUUUUCUUGGUGCAUUAGAUCCCUGCUUGGAGCCCUAGUGUGAAAUAUGUGUGGCCUAACCAUUGUCACCGAGAAGGAUCUGUUCAGGUAAGGAAAACACUUUUCCUUCUUGCAGAGACAUAUACGGUGAGGGCCAUUGGGGCGCCAUCAAGUGGCCAGAGAUAUGCAGUCCCCAGGGAUCAAUUGGCCCCGCAAGUCCUGCGGAGAAUAAGCAGAGCUGCUGCAGUCACUGGAGGUGGUGAAGCAAG